UACGUAGGGUGCAGGCGUUAAUCGGAAUUACUGGGCGUAAAGCGUGCGCAGGCGGUUUCUUAAGUCAGAUGUGAAAGCCCCGGGCUUAACCUGGGAACUGCGUUUGAAACUGGGAGACUUGAGUGUGGCAGAGGGGGGUGGAAUUCCACGUGUAGCAGUGAAAUGCGUAGAUAUGUGGAGGAACACCGAUGGCGAAGGCGGCCCACUGGCUCGAUACUGACGCUGAGGUGCGAAAGCGUGGGGAGCAAACAGG
rnacentral:rRNA from 1 species